GCCGGACCGCCGCCGCCGCCGCCGUGCACGGUGGCCGAAAAAUUUAACCUUCACCAAAAUUGACAAACAAUACAUCAUUUCAUUCGUUUCGAUGAGAGGAUCACUAAUAUGUGUUCAAAUCAAGGUGGGUGUGAACCAGUUGGCCGAAAAUUGGCCGGAAAUGUUCGAUGGUACCCACUUUGGGUUUUCCGAUUCCGGCCACCAUACUCAACACCGUAACAGUCAAAUGAAAGAAGGAGAAGAGAGGAGUCGAUCGGCACCUACCUUGAAGUCUCAGGUCGCCGGAAACGGCGUGAAUGGCUGAAAGAAUUGCUACUAUGGCGUCGCACCUUUCGAUUGAAUUUUCUCUCAAUCCGGGCUCAAAUCGCGCAAACCAAGGCUUGAAUCAGACUCCUUGCGAUGAGUAGAUAUUUUUAGAGUAUUUAUUUGCCGGAUUUGGUGGCCGGUGGUCGGAGAACGAGAAGAAAAGGGGAGGGGGGUUGUUGAGAGAGAAGAGCGAGAGAGAGACCACUGAAUCUCUCUUCUCGUUUCUCUUUUCUUUUUUUUUUUCUUUUUUUUUUUUCUAGAAUUUUCUAAUUGGUGGAUGGGGUUUGGGUCGAUUCGAGUCUGAUUUGGUUUAAAUCGUGGUUUUAGCUUGGUUUUUCAAUUGGUUUAUGGAUUUUUCAUCUGGUUUUCGAAAAAUUAAUUUGAUUUUUGGGUCCGGUUCAAUUUAUUUGAUUAUUUUGUUCAGUUUAGUAAUAUUUUCUCAAUUUAUUCAUAAAAUAUUAAUACCAAAGAUAUUUAAUUUUAGGCUGAUUAAUUUAUAUAGUAG
rnacentral:lncRNA from 1 species